rnacentral:rRNA from 1 species
UACGUAGGGUGCAAGCGUUAAUCGGAAUUACUGGGCGUAAAGCGUGCGCAGGCGGUUGUGCAAGACAGGUGUGAAAUCCCCGGGCUUAACCUGGGAACUGCACUUGUGACUGCACAGCUGGAGUGCGGCAGAGGGGGAUGGAAUUCCGCGUGUAGCAGUGAAAUGCGUAGAUAUGCGGAGGAACACCGAUGGCGAAGGCAGCCUCCUGGGCCAACACUGACGCUCAUGCACGAAAGCGUGGGGAGCAAACAGG